CCUACGGGGGGCAGCAGUGAGGAAUAUUGGUCAAUGGGCGUAAGCCUGAACCAGCCAAGUCGCGUGAGGGAUGAAGGUUCUAUGGAUCGUAAACCUCUUUUAUAAGGGAAUAAAGUGUGGGACGUGUCCUGUUUUGUAUGUACCUUAUGAAUAAGGAUCGGCUAACUCCGUGCCAGCAGCCGCGGUAAUACGGAGGAUCCGAUCGUUAUCCGGAUUUAUUGGGUUUAAAGGGUUCGUAGGCGGCCUUUUAAGUCAGCGGUGAAAGUCUGUGGCUCAACCAUAGAAUUGCCGUUGAAACUGGGAGGCUUGAGUAUGUUUGAGGCAGGCGGAAUGCGGGGUGUAGCGGUGAAAUGCUUAGAUAUCACGCAGAACCCCGAUUGCGAAGGCAGCCUGCCAAGCCAUGACUGACGCUGAUGCACGAAAGCGUGGGGAUCAAACAGGAUUAGAUACCCGAGUAGUC
rnacentral:rRNA from 1 species